GAGUGAUGCUGCGUCUCCCAGAGGCUGUAGACCGUGCUAAGGCUGUUGUCGAAGAGAUUAAAGUUAAAAGCGCUGAGCUGGGAAAAGUACAGCAAUCGAGUCGUGAGCUCAUGGAGAAGAUAUCAGAGGAGGAGUCGCAGCAGGUGCAGG